rnacentral:rRNA from 1 species
UCUGGCUCAGAACGAACGCUGGCGGCGCGUAUUAAGCAUGCAAGUCGAACGGUAACAUACUUCGGGAUGGCUAGAGUGGCGAACGGGUGAGUAACACGUAGGUGAUCUGCCCUUGAGUUGGGGAUAGCCCAUGGAAACAUGGGGUAAUACCGAAUACGCUCGGGACCCUUUGGGGACCUGAGGAAAAGCGCUUCGGCGCUGCUCGAGGAUGAGCCUGCGGCUGAUUAGUUAGUUGGUGGGGUAACGGCCUACCAAGGCGACGAUCAGUAGCCGGCCUGAGAGGGUGAGCGGCCACACUGGGACUGAGAUACGGCCCAGACUCCUACGGGAGGCAGCAGCUAAGAAUCUUCUACAAUGGACGAAAGUCUGAUAGAGCGACGCCGCGUGGGUCAUGAAGGCCGGAAGGUUGUAAAGCCCUUUUCUAUUCGAGGAAUAACCAUAGGAGGCAAUGCCCUGUGCGAUGACGGUAGGGUAGGAAUAAGCCCCGGCCAAUUACGUGCCAGCAGCCGCGGUAACACGUAUGGGGCGAGCGUAGUUCGGAAUCAUUGGGCGUAAAGGGCGCGUAGGCGGAUAUGCAAGCUUGGUGUGAAAGACCGAAGCUCAACUGCGGGAGCGCGCUGAGAACUGCAUGUCUAGAGUUCAAGAGGGGGAAGCUGGAAUUCCAGGUGUAGGGGUGAAAUCUGUAGAGAUCUGGAAGAACCAUCAGUGGCGAAGGCGAGCUUCUGGCUAUGAACUGACGCUGAGGCGCGAAAG